GACGAACGCUGGCGGCGUGCUUAACACAUGCAAGUCGAACGGAAAGGCCCUGCUUUUGUGGGGUGCUCGAGUGGCGAACGGGUGAGUAACACGUGAGUAACCUGCCCUUGACUUUGGGAUAACUUCAGGAAACUGGGGCUAAUACCGGAUAGGAGCUCCUGCUGCAUGGUGGGGGUUGGAAAGUUUCGGCGGUUGGGGUUGGACUCGCGGCUUAUCAGCUUGUUGGUGGGGUAGUGGCUUACCAAGGCUUUGACGGGUAGCCGGCCUGAGAGGGUGACCGGCCACAUUGGGACUGAGAUGCGGCCCAGACUCCUACGGGAGGCAGCAGUGGGGAAUAUUGCACAAUGGGCGGAAGCCUGAUGCAGCAACGCCGCGUGCGGGAUGACGGCCUUCGGGUUGUAAACCGCUUUCGCCUGUGACGAAGCGUGAGUGACGGUAAUGGGUAAAGAAGCACCGGCUAACUACGUG
rnacentral:rRNA from 1 species